GUGUGUGCAGUGAUGACACUAUUCUGGACUAGAGUUUCUGAUCUGGGACUGUCCCAGAAACUGAAGACAGACCCUUGGCUGUCUGAGCACUCUU